GACAGAGGGUGCAAACGUUGUUCGGAAUCACUGGGCGUAAAGCGUGUGUAGGCGGUUAGGUAAGUCGGAUGUGAAAGCCCUAGGCUCAACCUGGGAAGUGCACCCGAUACUGCCUAGCUAGAGUAUCGGAGAGGUUGGUGGAAUUCUCGGUGUAGAGGUGAAAUUCGUAGAUAUCGAGAAGAACAUCGGCGGCGAAGGCGACCAACUGGACGAAUACUGACGCUGAGACACGAAAGCGUGGGGAGCAAACAGG
rnacentral:rRNA from 1 species